UACCGGCACCCCGAGUGGUCGGGACGUUUAUUGGGCCUAAAGCAUCCGUAGCCGGUUCUACAAGUCUUCCGUUAAAUCCAACUGCUUAACAGGUGGGCUGCGGAAGAUACUAUAGAGCUAGGAGGCGGGAGAGGCAAGCGGUACUCGAUGGGUAGGGGUAAAAUCCGUUGAUCCAUUGAAGACCACCAGUGGCGAAGGCGGCUUGCCAGAACGCGCUCGACGGUGAGGGAUGAAAGCUGGGGGAGCAAACCGG
rnacentral:rRNA from 1 species